UGGCAUGAUGAAUCUUAAUCUAAUGGAAUCUCGUUCGUCUGAAUAGUACUGAUGAGAAUUGGUUUCUGAUGGCU